GCGGGAGUAGCACAGUGGCAGUGCUCUAGCCUUCCAAGCUGGUCAUGCGGGUUCGAUUCCCGUCUCCCGCU
rnacentral:tRNA from 1 species